rnacentral:SRP_RNA from 1 species
GCGACCACCUGUAACCCGAGCGGGGGUAGGGACCUGUGAAUAGCUGCAUGGCUGUCUCGGUCCAUAGGCCCAUGCCGAUGGUGUGUCCAUCUCAAGCCAGACGUCUCCAGUCCGAGCUCCUUGAAGGGAGUUAGGCCGGGCGUUAAAGCGAAGAGUACUGCGUGAGGCGGGAAACCGAGCAGCGAGUAUCUUCCGCGUCUGGCGGUGAGUGGAUAGCAUACCUGAAUGGU